rnacentral:lncRNA from 1 species
GAGGUAUUAGUACUCUGAGAAAGUCAUGCGAUUUGAUGCACACUCAACUUUUUUUUUCCUUGCUUUGACAGUUGCCAUGCUUGAAAAUAUAUAUCAAUUAAUUACAUGUGUAUUAGCUUAGGAUUUAUUUCAUAUUUUUAUUAGAAUCUCAUGUCAUUCAUGAUGUUUAUGGGUAACAUCCCUGAAAACCCUCACGAGACAACACUCGUCCACUAGGGUAACCUAGGGAUUUAACGGCUUGUUGCACGUGCUAAGUGCAAUCGUGAUUCCUACGAAAGUGAGUACAUAUCUUAGUUUUAUAUCUUUAGCUUCAAUAAAAAGUUAUAGGUUAAACCACACCUUUUGCACUCUCAUUUUAUUAUCUGCUCGUUAAUUGCUAGAGACUAGCAAUAAGCUAGUUGGGGGGUGUGAUGAGAGCACAAAAGUGCGAUCUAUACAUCACUUAAAUUAGUAUUAUUGCUAACAAAUAAUGAUAAAAGUG